GGGGAAUCUUCCGCAAUGGGCGAAAGCCUGACGGAGCAACGCCGCGUGAGUGAAGACGGCCUUCGGGUUGUAAAGCUCUGUUAUACGGGACGAAAAGUCUUGUGGUUAAUACCCAUAAGAAGUGACGGUACCGUAAGAGAAAGCCACGGCUAACUACGUGCCAGCAGCCGCGGUAAUACGUAGGUGGCAAGCGUUGUCCGGAAUUAUUGGGCGUAAAGGGCGCGCAGGCGGCUUCUUAAGUCUGUCUUAAAAGUGCGGGGCUUAACCCCGUGAUGGGAUGGAAACUGGGAAGCUCAGAGUAUCGGAGAGGAAAGCGGAAUUCCUAGUGUAGCGGUGAAAUGCGUAGAUAUUAGGAGGAACACCAGUGGCGAAAGCGGCUUUCUGGACGAAAACUGACGCUGAGGCGCGAAAGCCAGGGGAGCGAACGGGAUUAGAUACCCCGGUAGUCCUGGCCGUAAACGAUGGGUACUAGGUGUAGGAGGUAUCGACCCCUUCUGUGCCGGAGUUAACGCAAUAAGUACCCCGCCUGGGGAGUACGGCCGCAAGGUUG
rnacentral:rRNA from 1 species